ensembl:misc_RNA Y_RNA Y RNA
GGCUUGUCUGAAGGUGGUGAGUUAUCUCAAUUGAUUGUUCAUAGUCGGUUACAGAUUGAACUCCUUGUUCUACUCUUUCACCCCUUAUCACUACUGCACUAGACUAGUCUUAA